GUAGGUGAACCUGCGGAAGGAUCAUUACAGAGUUCAUGCCCUUACGGGUAGAUCUCCCACCCUUGAAUAUCUUACCUUUGUUGCUUUGGCGGGCCGCUUCGGCCACCGGCUUUCAGCUGGUGAGUGCCCGCCAGAGGACCCUAAACUCUGAAUUUAGUAUUGUCUGAGAACUAUAUAAUAGUUAAAACUUUCAACAACGGAUCUCUUGGUUCUG
rnacentral:misc_RNA from 1 species